rnacentral:rRNA from 1 species
AAUAGAUACCCGGGUAGUCCAUGCCGUAAACGUUGGGAACUAGAUGUAGGGCCUGUUCCACGGGUUCUGUGUCGUAGCUAACGCAUUAAGUUCCCCGCCUGGGGAGUACGGCCGCAAGGCUAAAACUCAAAGGAAUUGACGGGGGCCCGCACAAGCGGCGGAGCAUGCGGAUUAAUUCGAUGCAACGCGAAGAACCUUACCAAGGCUUGACAGUGUAGAAGACACCGCAGAGAUGCGGGACUCUUUGGACACUUCUAUACAGGUGGUGCAUGGUUGUCGUCAGCUCGUGUCGUGAGAUGUUCGGUUAAGUCCGGCAACGAGCGCAACCCUCGUCCUAUGUUGCCAGCACGUUAUGGUGGGAACUCAUGGGAUACUGCCGUGGUCAACACGGAGGAAGGUGGGGAUGACGUCAAAUCAUCAUGCCCCUUAUGUCUUGGGCUUCACGCAUGCUACAAUGGCCGGUACAAAGGGCUGCGAUACCGUAAGGUGGAGCGAAUCCCGAAAAAGCCGGUCUCAGUUCGGAUUGGGGUCUGCAACUCCG